rnacentral:sRNA from 1 species
UAUUACCGAUCCCACCAAUUGCCCUAUCCCUGGACACGGUCCGAAAGCUAUCGCGUCCGGAUCUCCCGAUGU